GACGAACGCUGGCGGCGUGCUUAACACAUGCAAGUCGAACGGAAAGGCCCUGCUUUUGUGGGGUGCUCGAGUGGCGAACGGGUGAGUAACACGUGAGUAACCUGCCCUUGACUUUGGGAUAACUUCAGGAAACUGGGGCUAAUACCGGAUAGGAGCUCCUGCUGCAUGGUGGGGGUUGGAAAGUUUCGGCGGUUGGGGAUGGACUCGCGGCUUAUCAGCUUGUUGGUGGGGUAGUGGCUUACCAAGGCUUUGACGGGUAGCCGGCCUGAGAGGGUGACCGGCCACAUUGGGACUGAGAUACGGCCCAGACUCCUACGGGAGGCAGCAGUGGGGAAUAUUGCACAAUGGGCGGAAGCCUGAUGCAGCAACGCCGCGUGCGGGAUGACGGCCUUCGGGUUGUAAACCGCUUUCGCCUGUGACGAAGCGUGAGUGACGGUAAUGGGUAAAGAAGCACCGGCUAACUACGUGCCAGCAGCCGCGGUGAUACGUAGGGUGCGAGCGUUGUCCGGAUUUAUUGGGCGUAAAGGGCUCGUAGGUGGUUGAUCGCGUCGGAAGUGUAAUCUUGGGGCUUAACCCUGAGCGUGCUUUCGAUACGGGUUGACUUGAGGAAGUUAGGGAGAAUGGAAUCCCUGGUGGAGCGGCGGAAUGCGCAGAUAUCAGGAGGAACACCAGUGGCGAAGGCGGUUCUCUGGGCCUUUCCUGACGCUGAGGAGCGAAAGCGUGGGGAGCGAACAGGCUUAGAUACCCUGGUAGUCCACGCUGUAAACGGUGGGUACUAGGUGUGGGGUCCAUUCCACGGGUUCCGUGCCGUAGCUAACGCUUUAAGUACCCCGCCUGGGGAGUACGGCCGCAAGGCUAAAACUCAAAGGAAUUGACGGGGCCCCGCACAAGCGGCGGAGCAUGCGGAUUAAUUCGAUGCAACGCGUAGAACCUUACCUGGGUUUGACAUGGAUCGGGAGUGCUCAGAGAUGGGUGUGCCUCUUUUGGGGUCGGUUCACAGGUGGUGCAUGGCUGUCGUCAGCUCGUGUCGUGAGAUGUUGGGUUAAGUCCCGCAACGAGCGCAACCCUUGUUCACUGUUGCCAGCACGUUAUGGUGGGGACUCAGUGGAGACCGCCGGGGUCAACUCGGAGGAAGGUGGGGAUGACGUCAAGUCAUCAUGCCCCUUAUGUCCAGGGCUUCACGCAUGCUACAAUGGCUGGUACAGAGAGUGGCGAGCCUGUGAGGGUGAGCGAAUCUCGGAAAGCCGGUCUCAGUUCGGAUUGGGGUCUGCAACUCGACCUCAUGAAGUCGGAGUCGCUAGUAAUCGCAGAUCAGCAACGCUGCGGUGAAUACGUUCCCGGGGCU
rnacentral:rRNA from 1 species